AAAAAAGGUAAGCUACUAAGAGCGAAUGGUGGAUGCCUUGACUGGUAAAGGCGAUGAAGGACGUACUAGACUGCGAUAAGCUACGGGGAGCUGUCAAGAAGCUUUGAUCCGUAGAUUUCCGAAUGGGGCAACCCAAUGUAUAGAGAUAUACAUUACCUAUAUAGGAGCGAACGAGGGGAAUUGAAACAUCUUAGUACCCUCAGGAAAAGAAAUCAAUAGAGAUUGCGUCAGUAGCGGCGAGCGAAAGCGCAAGAGGGCAAACCCAGUGCUUGCACUGGGGGUUGUAGGACUGCAAUGUGCAAGAGCUGAGUUUAGCAGAACAUUCUGGAAAGUAUAGCCAUAGAGGGUGAUAGUCCCGUAUGCGAAAAACAAAGCUUAGCUAGCAGUAUCCUGAGUAGGGCGGGACACGAGGAAUCCUGUCUGAAUCCGGGUCGACCACGAUCCAACCCUAAAUACUAAUACCAGAUCGAUAGUGCACAAGUACCGUGAGGGAAAGGUGAAAAGAACUGAGGUGAUCAGAGUGAAAUAGAACCUGAAACCAUUUGCUUACAAUCAUUCAGAGCACUAUGUAGCAAUACAGUGUGAUGGACUGCCUUUUGCAUAAUGAGCCUGCGAGUUGUGGUGUCUGGCAAGGUUAAGCAAACGCGAAGCCGUAGCGAAAGCGAGUCUGAAUAGGGCGCUUAGUCAGAUGCUGCAGACCCGAAACGAAGUGAUCUAUCCAUGAGCAAGUUGAAGCUAGUGUAAGAACUAGUGGAGGACUGAACCCAUAGGCGUUGAAAAGCCCCGGGAUGACUUGUGGAUAGGGGUGAAAGGCCAAUCAAACUUCGUGAUAGCUGGUUCUCUCCGAAAUAUAUUUAGGUAUAGCGUUGUGUCGUAAUAUAAGGGGGUAGAGCACUGAAUGGGCUAGGGCAUACACCAAUGUACCAAACCCUAUCAAACUCCGAAUACCUUAUAUGUAAUCACAGCAGUCAGGCGGCGAGUGAUAAAAUCCGUCGUCAAGAGGGAAACAACCCAGACUACCAGCUAAGGUCCCUAAAUCUUACUUAAGUGGAAAACGAUGUGAAGUUACUUAAACAACCAGGAGGUUGGCUUAGAAGCAGCCAUCCUUUAAAGAAAGCGUAAUAGCUCACUGGUCUAGUGAUUUUGCGCGGAAAAUAUAACGGGGCUAAAGUAAGUACCGAAGCUGUAGACUUGCGCACAACUUAGAUUAUUUAAGUUUAGAAUAUGAGAAACUAAGUUAUGUUUAGUUAUAUUUUUACUGAUUUUUAUAGAGUAAAGAUAGAAAUAAAACUUAGUAAAAUCAGUAAAAAUAUUCUUAGGCUAAAGUUAAGUAGUUUAAGUUGUGUGCAAGUGGUAGGAGAGCGUUCUAUUUGCGUCGAAGGUAUACCGGUAAGGAGUGCUGGAGCGAAUAGAAGUGAGCAUGCAGGCAUGAGUAGCGAUAAUUAAUGUGAGAAUCAUUAACGCCGUAAACCCAAGGUUUCCUACGCGAUGCUCGUCAUCGUAGGGUUAGUCGGGUCCUAAGUCGAGUCCGAAAGGGGUAGACGAUGGCAAAUUGGUUAAUAUUCCAAUACCAACAUUAGUGUGCGAUGGAAGGACGCUUAGGGCUAAGGGGGCUAGCGGAUGGAAGUGCUAGUCUAAGGUCGUAGGAGGUUAUACAGGCAAAUCCGUAUAACAAUACUCCGAGAACUGAAAGGCUUUUUGAAGUCUUCGGAUGGAUAGAAGAACCCCUGAUGCCGUCGAGCCAAGAAAAGUUUCUAAGUUUAGCUAAUGUUGCCCGUACCGUAAACCGACACAGGUGGGUGGGAUGAGUAUUCUAAGGCGCGUGGAAGAACUCUCUUUAAGGAACUCUGCAAAAUAGCACCGUAUCUUCGGUAUAAGGUGUGGUUAGCUUUGUAUUAGGAUUUACUCCGAAAGCAAGGAAACUUACAACAAAGAGUCCCUCCCGACUGUUUACCAAAAACACAGCACUCUGCUAACUCGUAAGAGGAUGUAUAGGGUGUGACGCCUGCCCGGUGCUCGAAGGUUAAUUGAUGGGGUUAGCAUUAGCGAAGCUCUUGAUCGAAGCCC
rnacentral:rRNA from 1 species